rnacentral:rRNA from 1 species
GACGAACGCUGGCGGCGUGCUUAACACAUGCAAGUCGAACGGAAAGGCCCUGCUUUUGUGGGGUGCUCGAGUGGCGAACGGGUGAGUAACACGUGAGUAACCUGCUCUUGACUUUGGGAUAACUUCAGGAAACUGGGGCUAAUACCAUAUAGCAGCUCCUGCUGCAUGGUGGGGGUUGGAAAGUGUCGGCGGUUGGGGAUGGACUCGCGGCUUAUGAGCUUGUUGGUGGGGUAGUGGCUUACCAAGGCGUUGACGGGUAGCCGGCCUGGGAGGGUGACCGGGCACAGUGGGACUGGGGUACGACCCGGAGGGCUUCGGGGGGCAGCAGUGGGGAAUAUUGCACGAUGGGCGGAGGGCUGGUGCAGCAACGCCGCGUGGGAGAGGACGGCCGUCGGGUUGUAAAACGAGUUCGCCUGUGACGAGGCGUGAGGGACGGUAAUGGGUAAAGAAGCACCGGCUAACUAGGG